ensembl:Mt_tRNA
UAGUGUAGCUUAAUAAAAGCAUAACACUGAAGAUGUUAAGAUGGGCCCUAGAAAGCCCCACAGGCACA